rnacentral:rRNA from 1 species
AUUGAACGCUGGCGGCAUGCUUACACAUGCAAGUCGAACGAGUGGCGAACGGGUGAGUAAUACAUCGGAACAUGUCCUGUAGUGGGGGAUAGCCCGGCGAAAGCCGGUUAAUACCGCAUACUAUAGGGUUGGCCGAUGGCUGAUUAGCUAGUUGGUGGGGUAAAGGCCUACCAAGGCGACGAUCAGUAGCUGGUCUGAGAGGACGACCAGCAACACGGGGACUGAGACACGGCCCAGACUCCUACGGGAGGCAGCAGUGGGGAAUUUUGGACAAUGGGCGAAAGCCUGAUCCAGCAAUGCCGCGUGUGUGAAGAAGGCUUCGGGUUGUAAAGCACUUUCAGCGAGGAGGCGUUACUCGCAGAAGAAGCACCGGCUAACUCCGUGCCAGCAGCCGCGGUAAUAC